UGCAGUCGAGCGGUAGGCUCCUUCGGGAGUACACGAGCGGCGAACGGGUGAGUAACACGUGAGCAAUCUGCCCUUCUCAUCGGAAUAACCAUUGGAAACGAUGGCUAAUGCCGAAUAUGACCUCGGAUCACAUGUUCUGAGGUGGAAAGCUCCGGCGGAGAAGGAUGAGCUCGCGGCCUAUCAGCUUGUUGGUGAGGUAAUAGCUCACCAAGGCGAUGACGGGUAGCCGGCCUGAGAGGGUGACCGGCCACACUGGGACUGAGACACGGCCCAGACUCCUACGGGAGGCAGCAGUGGGGAAUAUUGGACAAUGGGCGAAAGCCUGAUCCAGCAACGCCGCGUGAGGGAUGACGGCCUUCGGGUUGUAAACCUCUUUCAGCAGGGACGAAGCGAAAGUGACGGUACCUGCAGAAGAAGGACCGGCCAACUACGUGCCAGCAGCCGCGGUAAUACGUAGGGUCCGAGCGUUGUCCGGAAUUAUUGGGCGUAAAGGGCUCGUAGGCGGUUUGUCACGUCGGGAGUGAAAACUCAGGGCUCAACCCUGAGCGUGCUUCCGAUACGGGCAGACUAGAGGUAUGCAGGGGAGAACGGAAUUCCUGGUGUAGCGGUGGAAUGCGCAGAUAUCAGGAGGAACACCGGUGGCGAAGGCGGUUCUCUGGGCAUUACCUGACGCUGAGGAGCGAAAGCAUGGGGAGCGAACAGGAUUAGAUACCCUGGUAGUCCAUGCCGUANACGUUGGGCGCUAGGUGUGGGGACCUUCCACGGUCUCCGUGCCGCAGCUAACGCAUUAAGCGCCCCGCCUGGGGAGUA
rnacentral:rRNA from 1 species